UACGUAGGUGGCAAGCGUUGUCCGGAUUUACUGGGCGUAAAGAGCGCGCAGGCGGUCGAUUUAGUCGCGUGUGAAAGCCCCCGGCUCAACUGGGGAGGGUCACGCGAUACUGAUCGACUCGAAGGCAGGAGAGGGUAGUGGAAUUCCCGGUGUAGUGGUGAAAUGCGUAGAUAUCGGGAGGAACACCAGUGGCGAAGGCGACUACCUGGCCUGUUCUUGACGCUGAGGCGCGAAGGCGUGGGGAGCGAACGGG
rnacentral:rRNA from 1 species